UAUCGCUUUGCAUUGGGGGGGUCUUCUCAGACGAAGGAAGCCACUACCACAGCGUACCGGUGGCUUAUUCAUGUGGUGCACUAGUCGUCUGCAGCCGUUCUCGCUUUCGUCCUCUCGACACCUGGGCCGCGAGAACAUCAGCAUGCAGGGACAGAAAGGGGUCGGUCCGUCAAGAGUACUGGCUGAAAACAAGAGCUCGCUAUAGGGACAGCAUAUGGGAAGAAGCGACGAUCGAUAAUGAAGGAAUACUACGUACAAAGCGCGCGUCGCUCUUACAAAAGAUGCAAAUUAUAUAUGAGAUUAUUUGAGCGAUAGAUGCUUGCUCGUGCGCUUUCGAUCGGAUAAGCGUCUCUCGCUGUCAAGAAUCCGAGAAACUAUAGCCAGAGCUUGAUUAUUAGAUCGAUCCACAGAAAGAAAGAAAGAAAAAAGCCGCACCUGCUGUUGAAUGAAAAUUUGUUCCUUUUCCUGUAAGAAAGAGUAUCCUUGGUUAAUUAAAUGUUUGAUUUUUUAGCAUUUUUAGACGAUAUUAUAUCCACUUUUUUAUGAGCCAACGUCCGUGGCCAAUUCUCACACGACAUCCAACUUAUCCGCUCCAGAUUUUUAUUCCAGCAUUUCGGGGUGCACUGCAUAUAAUAAAGGGCGUUGACACUGCCACUACUACGCUCACUCGUCACCAGUCACCACGAGACUUAAGGAAGUACUAUAAAGUAUAAACCACACUCUCUUUAAUUAAUCAGCGGAUAAUAAUCAAAGAAAUCAUAAGCAGAGAGGGGGAUCGAGCUCGAGGAGAGAAUACCGAUCCGAUCAUGCAUCCAUUCCGGGCCGAUCCCACGAUCUUUUAAUUUCCACGCCAAUUAAUUCUAUCAACCGCGCUGAAAACCAACAAGCUGCCGCCGCAAAGCAGCACUCUUUCGAGCAACGACGCACUUAAAGCGCUUUGGUGCGUGGACGGGGGCUCACACAUGGGGUGUUCCGGCCCUGUUCUUUGGGCACAGCAAUGGUGUGCUAUAGCUAGGGCAAAGCUUCAAUUCGGACCAGGAUCAGAAGAAAAGCCCGCUUU
rnacentral:lncRNA from 1 species